rnacentral:misc_RNA from 1 species
CAGAGUUCAUGCCCGAAAGGGUAGACCUCCCACCCUUGUGUAUUUAUACCUUUGUUGCUUUGGCGGGCCGCCGCAAGGCCGCCGGCUUAGGCUGGCGCGCGCCCGCCAGAGGAUACCAAACUCUGAAUGUCAGUGUCGUCUGAGUACUAUAUAAUAGUUA